CUCCGUCCCUUCUAUUCUCAGCGCCCGCCUGGCAGGACGACUGAGCAAGGCUUUGGAAAACCAGAGAGAUUAGAGCGGUGAGUUGCGCUGGUCACAUUGGAUACCUGCGCGUUAGGAGAUUCUGGAGCCAGACGGAGAGCCGAAUGGCCUUCGCCCGCCCUGCCCCUCUCUUGCUUCAGAAGCCCCCAGAAACUCCGCGGUCGGCGACCCAGCCCGAGCCGCCUGAGGUCCCAAGGGGAAGCUGAACGCCUGCAGAAUGGGGAAAUGGAGAGAGAACCUGAAAGAGCCCCAAACUCGAGGACCUAUUGCUCCCCAAGAAUAACAUCUUCCAGAACUAGACAGAAACUAAGCGUCUGGAAACCCUGAAAUCCUUGGAGGAGUAGCAUCAUCCUGACCCUCUGUGCUCCUUUUGGCAAAGGACUUGCUUCCAUUGUUUGUUUGUUCAAUUGUCUGUUUGUUAAAUAAAUAAAACUCUUUUCAUAUAUCUUUAAAAGUACGUUGGUUCUAUUAUUUUAUGAUUACAAACAAUGCUGCAGUCAUCAUUCUUCUACACUUGUCAUUGGCCACUGGUAUAUUUCCAUAGGGUGGAGGCCUGGAGAGCAGUUGUUCCAGCAUAGUGCUU
rnacentral:lncRNA from 1 species